rnacentral:rRNA from 1 species
UACAGAGGUCCCAAGCGUUGUUCGGAUUCAUUGGGCGUAAAGGGUGCGUAGGUGGCGCUGUAAGUCGGGUGUGAAAUUUCGGAGCUUAACUCCGAAACUGCAUUCGAUACUGCGGUGCUUGAGGACUGGAGAGGAGACUGGAAUUCCCGGUGUAGCGGUGAAAUGUGUAGAGAUCGGGAGGAACACCGGUGGCGAAGGCGGGUCUCUGGGCAUUUCCUGACGCUGAGGCGCGAAAGCGUGGGGAGCAAACGGG